rnacentral:rRNA from 1 species
AUUGAACGCUGGCGGCAGGCCUAACACAUGCAAGUCGAGCGAGCGGCGGACGGGUGAGUAAUGCCUGGGAAUUGUCCAGUCGAGGGGGAUAACAGUUGGAAACGAGUGCUAAUACCGCAUACGAUUUGCUUGCUCGGUGGGGAUUAGCUAGUUGGUGCGGUAAUGGCUCACCAAGGCGACGAUCCCUAGCUGGUCUGAGAGGAUGAUCAGCCACACUGGAACUGAGACACGGGCCAGACUCCUACGGGAGGCAGCAGUGGGGAAUAUUGCACAAUGGGCGAAACCCUGAUGCAGCCAUGCCGCGUGUGUGAAGAAGGCCUUCGGGUUGUAAAGCACUGUCAGCGAGGAGGCGUUACUCGCAGAAGAAGCACCGGCUAACUCCGUGCCAGCAGCCGCGGUAAUUC